rnacentral:lncRNA from 1 species
AUGACUUCUAGUUACAUAACUGAAGUUCGAAAAAAACAAAAAGAAUUUUUAAAUAAAUUGUUUUGCAAGUUCGAAAAAUACUCUAAUGAAAAAUUUUUAAAUAAUUUACUAAAUAAGUCGUUAAAUGAAAUAGCUUUGUAUCCUUUUCAAGAUGUAAAUGACAAUGAUGUUAUUAACGAAAUUAAUGAUUAUAUUAAUGAGCUGACUAUAAAUGCAAAUUAUAAAAAAAAACGAAUUUUAAAACAUUUGUGUGAACUUUUUUUAGAUAAUAAUUUUUACGUAUAUAAUCAGAAAGACAGAUAUGACUUAAAAUAUGUUAUAUUAAGUGUAUUAUUUUUAAUAAGAGAUAGUACAAUCAUUGAAAAUACAAAAGAGGUUGAUUUUAUUUAUAAUAAAUAUUUUAACUAUGUUACAACUGCAAAAAAAAAUAAAAAUGCAUAUAUCCUUUUAAAUAGUAAUGAACAAAAAGCAUUAGACGAUAUAUAUAAAUUUAACAUAGAAGAAGAAAAAAAAUAUAUAAAAAAUUUACAUGCCGAUACAGAGGAAGAAGAUGAUUACUCCGAUCUAUCAUCCUUAUCUUUAUCUUUGUCAAAAGUUGAUGAGAGGCACAAAACCAAUAGGGAUGGUACAGAUGGUAUUAAAUACAUUCAUAGUCGUCAAUACCAGUACGAUACCUAUGAAUAUGAUGAAUAUGGUGAAGAUGAUGACAAUGAUGAAGAUGACGAAACGGAAACUGAAUCAGUCAAUAGUAUAGACACAAAAUCAAUUGAAAAGAAUACAACAGAAGAAGGUAUCAAUAUACCUACCGAUUUAAACAAUAAGGCUUUUACACAUAUUACAAAAUAUCAAAAAGACAAAACAAAUAAUAAAGUACCUAGCAAUCAUGACACUUUUAAUGAAACAAAAUAUAAUAUUUUAACUGAGAGAUUUUUAAAAAACAACAAUAAACUAACAUAUGAAAAUGUAAUUAAAAAAGUAUAUGACUGUGUGUACAAUUAUCCACAUUAUGAGGACGUAAAAACAAAAUUAAAUAACGCUUCAAACAUUUUUUCAGAAAAAGAGAAAAUAAAAAAAAACAAGAAAAACUCCAAUGGUGCACAUGCAACUAGUAACAACUAUAAGGAUAAAAACAAGGAAUCACAUUUUUAUAAUAAAAAUUAUACACUAAAUGAAGAUGUAUAUCAUGAAAAUGGUUAUGUAGACAAUAGCUAUGAUGAAAACAAUUCAAGUUCUAGCUCAGAGGAAGAUAUACUAAGAAGUUUAAAAAAAAAAAAAAAAAAAGAUUUUAUGUCAAUAAAAAAACCAAAAGAACAAUAUUUUUUUAAUACAUUAAACUUAUUUAAUGAGGAAAAUUCGGAAAAUAAUCAAAAUGAUCAAAAUGAUCAAAAUGAUCAAAAUGUAAUAUAUCAAACGGACAUAUAUAAUUUACAAAACGUAUUUCGAACAACUUCGACUUUUAACGAAUUACGCGGGUUUACUGAAUCAUUCGAGUUUACCGAUUCAGGGAUGGAUAAAGACAUACAUUUGAAUCGACAGAAACAAAAUAUUAUUACUACACAGAAAUAUCAACAAAAUGGGACUAAUUUUGGUAAUGACAGUAAUGUGGAUAAUAAACAACAUGCAGAUAAAAAUAAUAGUACAUUUUUAAAUGAAAAAAAUGAAACGAUUGAACAUGCAUAUAACAACAACCAAACAGAUGUUAUUAUUACUAACAAUUGGAACACAAACGAUAAAGUAAAUACUACACAUAAUUAUAAAAAGAUCCAUAAAGAUAUAGUAACCGAUUUGCACACAAACAAAAACAAAAGAAACAACAACAAUAACAGUAAAAAUAUCAGACAAAAAAAAAACAGGUUUUAUGUAAGUGAGAUAUUUAUUAUAAAAGAAAUAUUAAUGUUAUUAUCUUUAAAUUGUCCCAUUAAAUUUCAGGAUAAUUUUUUUCUAAAUUUUUCUGAUUUUUUAUUUAAUAAUGCAAUGAACAAAGAUAAAAUAAAAGAUGAUUUUUUAUUUUACAUAGAAAUAAAAAAAAAAAUAAUAAGAAAAAAAACAAAACAAAUGGUUGAUAAAGAUAUGAUAAUAAAUACUAAUAUAAUUAAAUAUCAUGUCGUUAUAAACGAAUUAAUGAAUAUUAAAUUAUAUAAUGCAAGACGAAAUACUUUUAAAAACUAUAUUAAAAAAAUUAAAAAAAGUAGUAUACAAUUGUUUUAUAUUUAUGUCUUCUUUUUUCUUAUUCAAAAAUUUCGUUCUUUUUUUUUCUUUUUACCACAUAAAUUAAAUGAUAUUUUUAAUUAUAUUAUUUAUAUACGGCAAAGUGUUAACUUAGAAGGAACGAAUAAAAACUUUUUUGCUUUUUGUGAUAAUAUACAUAUAAAUAGCAACCAUAAUAGAAAUAGUAAUUAUAUUGGUGCCACUAAUAAUAUAUACUAUCAAGGAAAUUUUAUCGAAUGUUUUGUAAAUUCAUUGAAAUGUAUAUAUUCCGAAUGGUUAAACAUAAUAAAUAUGUUAUAUUAUUAUCACAUUUUACAAAUUUCGAAACAGUACAAUAUAUUCCCUGUGAGUGAUGAACAAUUUAUCAUAGUAUUAAAAAAGCUACAACAAAUUAAACUCCUCAAUUAUAUCAAAUUGGAAGAUUUUGUUAUUUUAAAGAGAAAAAAAGAAAAAAAAAAAAAAAAAAAAUACAGACAGGGGAUGGUGGUACUAGUUCAACAAGAAAAUCAAAGAUGUCAAGGAGGUUAUAAUAAUAAUAAUAAUACUAUUCAACAUGUGGAAGAUUAUAACGUUGUUUAUGAUGUCAUGCGUGAUAAUAGUCAUGAUUUUUAUCCACAAAAAACUGGUACCAUGACCCAACACCACAGUCCAAAGGAGACUAUAAAAACAAACGGUGGUAAAAAUUACAAAACAUUCAUAGACCUUAACAACAUUUCCAAUUUCAGAUCAUUAAGCUUAAUUUAUUUUCAAUUUUUAAUUAACAAAUAUUUACGAAUGUGGAGUAGUUUAUACGAUUUUUUAAAUUACAUUUUAUCAUAUUUAUUAUAUAAUAUUAAUAUAUAUGAUUAUAAUUAUUUUAACUUAAAUUAUGACAACGCGAAAAAAUUUUGUAUUUGCUAUGAUAUGAUUUUACUUUUUUGGAGAAACAGUCAAAUAAUGAAUAAUAAAUCAUUAGAAAAAAUAUUUCGUUUUUUACUAAACGAUUUGAAUAUAUAUUAUACAAAGCAUAUAAAUAAUUGGAUUAAAAAAGGGAAAGUAGAUGAUAUGUUUAAUGAAUUUUUUGUAUAUUUAAAAAAAAAAAAAAAAGAAGAAGAAGAAGAAAAAAAAGGUAAAUUACAAAAUUAUGAACAAUCUAACUAUAACGACCAUAUGUUAUUUAUAAAAGAGCAAAAUAAUUUUGUUUUAUGUCCAGAAUUCUUUAAUUCCUAUAUAUUUUUUUUAAUCAAUUUGGGAAACAAUGUUCGUUUAUAUAUGAAAAUAGAUUACGAAAAAAGUCAUAUUGAUUAUGUAGAUUAUUAUUUAAAAGAAGAGGCGAAUAUGGCUAUAGCAAAAAAUGGGUACAUGCAUAAACAAAAAAAAAAAAAAAAAAAAAAAAAAAAAAUGCACAUAAUAGUAAACAAUGAAGAUGCUUAUGGUUGUAAGAUAAGUGGCGAUAAAGACGUGUACUACCCAAAUUCAAAUUCUUAUGACGAUUGUAAUGAAAAUAUUAACUUAAAUGAUGCUUUCAUUUUUUACAAAAAUCGAUCUUCUCAUUUUAAAAAAUUACACGAAAAUACACUUAACUAUUAUUAUAAUUUGGAAAAUGUAAAAAGAAAUAAUAACAGUUCAUUAGAUAUAUUAUCCAAAAUUUUAAAAAAAAAUAAAAAUAAAAAAAUAGGUUUACCAUAUUUUAAAAAAAAUGUUAUGUCAUUAAAUAUAUCAUAUGAUUUAUUUAUUCAAAAAUAUAUACAAGAACAUUUUUUUAAACUUUACCAAACUAGUAAUCGUAUAUUUGUUUAUAGUUUAAUGAAGCAUUCCUAUUUGAUAGAAUAUUUUGCUUGUUUCCGUAGUGUAACAUUUCUUGAAAUUGUUGAUUAUAUUGCUCCUUUUUUGGAACUUAUUUUUAAAGAAACAAAAACUCCUAUUAUAGAUGAAAGAAAUUUAAAUUUUACUUUUAAACAAUGUAUUAUGCAAAAUUCGGAUUUUAUUUAUAAAACAGAAGUAGACGAACAUAAUAAAAAAAAAUUGAAACAAAAAAAUAAAGACCUUAUGUGUGACAGUACAUAUUCUUGUUCUUCUUUUUUACAUAAUAAGUUUGUUCUGACACAUAUAAAUAUAUUACUGUCAAAGGAUGAUGAUACAUCGGGUGCACUAAGUUAUAAAUUGAUUUGUGACACUACUCCUGUUAGUGAUACUGUUAUUAGUGAUAACGUAGGUGUUGCUAAUGUAGGUGUUGAUAAACACAACGCACGUGUUAAGAAAAAGCAACAACGAAUGUGCAAAGACUUACUAUCUAAUUUUUACAAAGAAGAAAUAAUCAGUACGAUAUUAAAAAAAUUUUAUUUUAAAUUAAAAAAAAAUAACAUAUACGAUAAUAAUAUAAAUGCUAUAAAAUAUCGUAAUUUAAUUAUUCAAACAAAAGGGGCACCAUUUAUAAAUCUUUUUUUUGAUUCAAACUGUUUAGAAAAAUAUUCAGCUAUUUUUUCUUUUUUCUUAGAAAUAAAAAAAUCUUUACAUAUAUUAAAUUUGGUUCAUAUAUUUUAUAAAUUUUUAAAAAGUAAAAAAACAAAAACUGUACAAAAAUAUUAUGAUAACAAUUUCCAUUCUAUUAUUAAUUUUUUAUAUAUAUUAAAAUAUAAAACAUAUUUUUUUUUUAACACCUUAUAUACUUAUUAUCAGUGGGUUUUAACUUUUGCUUGGAAUAAUUUUUUAUUCAAAUUGUCUCAAACUAAAUCUUUAUAUCAUAUUAAAACAGAUCAUGAACUAUAUUUGAAUUUUUUAGUGGAAACAAUGUUGUUACCAAUAACCACAGAACAUGAAGAGAUACGUAACAUAUACAUAAAUACUGAUUAUAAACAUAUUAAUAACAAAAUGUAUGAACAAUUUGAAAAAAAACUAUACAAUUACACAAAUCAUUAUUCAAAUCCUAGUAACAAUAACAAUAAUAAUAGUAAUAAUAAUAAUAACAAUAAUAAUAGUAAUAAUAAUAAUAAUAGUAAUAAUAAUAAUAAUAAUAAUAAUAAUAAUAAUAAUAAUAGUAAUAAUAAUAAUAGUAAUAAUAAUAAUAAAGAAACAAGAAAAGGACUAUUAUAUAAUGACUACAGUUUGAAUGGUACUAACUUACAAUAUGCACACAAACAAAAUAACAUACCAAAUAAUGUAUCAAGUGGAGUAGGUGAUAGUCGUAACAACUAUAAUGAACAAACAAAUAAUUACUACAACACAUACCAACAAAAUAUAAAUAAUAACCUAGGGAGAAAUAUGAUUAAUAAAAAAUUUUUAUUAAAUGAAUUAUUUGCUAAUAAUAUUUUAAACUUACUAUUUAUACCAUCUCAAAUAUAUAAAAUUUUAGUAAAACUAAGUAAAUAUUUUAAUAUUAACUUUGAUUUAAAUUUUGACAACUCUUAUAAUGAAUUUUAUGAGCACAAAAAGAAUGAUUGUGGGGAUGGGGCAAUGAGACAUAAUGAAAACGACAGUAGUGACAACGACAAUAGUGACAACGAUGAUGAUACAUAUAUCGGUAUCAACAGAAAUGAUGAAGUAAAAAAAGGUAUAAUAAAUAACAAUACAUCAUAUAAUGAUUUAAAAAAUGGUAAUAUUACUAAUAACACAACAAAUUACACUGAUAAGGAACAACUAAUAUUUUACAUACAAAACGAAAUAAAAACACUUUCAAAUAUAUUUGAUUUACAUUAUUCAGAAUUUAUAAAAAAACUAAAUAUUAUAUCUUUUAAUACAGAAACAAAUAGUUUUUUUAGGCCUCAAAAAAAACUCAGAAUUAUUUAA